rnacentral:rRNA from 1 species
UAGGGAAUCUUCGGCAAUGGGGGGAACCCUGACCGAGCAACGCCGCGUGAGUGAAGAAGGUUUUUGGAUCGUAAAGCUCUGUUGUUAAGGAAGAACGAGUGUGAGAAUGGAAAGUUCAUACUGUGACGGUACUUAACCAGAAAGGGACGGCUAACUACGUGCCAGCAGCCGCGGUAAUACGUAGGUCCCGAGCGUUGUCCGGAUUUAUUGGGCGUAAAGCGAGCGCAGGCGGUUAGAUAAGUCUGAAGUUAAAGGCAGUGGCUCAACCAUUGUAGGCUUUGGAAACUGUUUAACUUGAGUGCAGAAGGGGAGAGUGAAAUUCCAUGUGUAGCGGUGAAAUGCGUAGAUAUAUGGAGGAACACCGGUGGCGAAAGCGGCUCUCUGGUCUGUAACUGACGCUGAGGCUCGAAAGCGUGGGGAGCGAACAGG